rnacentral:rRNA from 1 species
AUUGAACGCUGGCGGCAUGCUUUACACAUGCAAGUCGAACGGUAACAGGUAGCUUGCUCCGCUGACGAGUGGCGAACGGGUGAGUAAUGCGUCGGAACGUGCCGAGUAGUGGGGGAUAACGCAUCGAAAGGUGUGCUAAUACCGCAUACGUACUGAGGUAGAAAGUGGGGGACCUUCGGGCCUCACGCUAUUCGAGCGGCCGACGUCUGAUUAGCUAGUUGGUGAGGUAAAGGCUCACCAAGGCGACGAUCAGUAGCGGGUCUGAGAGGAUGGUCCGCCACACUGGGACUGAGACACGGCCCAGACUCCUACGGGAGGCAGCAGUGGGGAAUUUUGGACAAUGGGCGCAAGCCUGAUCCAGCCGUGCCGCGUGUCUGAAGAAGGUCUUCGGGUUGUAAAGGACUUUUGUCCGGGAGCAAAUGCCUGGUGUUAAUAGCACUGGGAGCUGAGAGUACCGGAAGAAUAAGCACCGGCUAACUACGUGCCAGCCGCCGCCGUAACAC